rnacentral:lncRNA from 1 species
CAUUCUUUCCAUUUAUCUUCUGCAAUCAAGAGAAACUCUUCUGGACAAAAAGAUGUCCUCUGCAGAUGGCACCAGUCAAAAGAACCCAGUAAACACCAAACCUUGGUCUGCAGGUAAGGGGCCACUGUCAAUGGCCUGAUUACUCUGAUUGGUAGCCAAUGGUCAUCAAACCCUUGGUUUGGCUCUCUCCUCUGGGCGAGACAUUCUUGCCUACCACAGACUGCUUUAUUACAUCACCAUGAUCGAAUCACCAUGCUUCAGGAUAAUGUCGAUAGAACAAAGUCAGUGCCUCCUUCUGCUGCUAAGUUAAGAAUCCCCUUGGCCAUCAAGUAUGCUUCCCCAAACUAUUUCCAAAGACGUUUGAAAAUAUGGAGAAAGUUUCAGAAAGCUCCAUCAUUACUAUGAGCCUCAGUCCCCAAUCUCUGUCUUAAGAUGCUGCUUGGAUGUUGUUGGAUCCUGCACUGGAAUGUACUAGAAGGACAAAACACAACCCUUCCUGAGGGUCAGUUCCUUGGAUGUGACUGGAGUUGCUCCAGAUAUUACAAUUAAAAUAAGGGCAUUCAUUACAUUAUAUUCCCUGUGAAUGUUCAUUAAAGUAAAAGAGGUAGAGGAGGUGAAGGAGGAGGAAGAAGGGGAGGAGGAGGAAGAAGAAGAAGAGGAAGAGGAGAAAGAGAAAGCUGCUGCUGCUGCUGUUGAUGACUACCUGGGCUCUGCGCAGCUUCCCUGGCCACACCCCUUCCCACACACCUGCAGGAAGACCACAGCCGCCACAGAGAAUGGGUCGGUACCAAGGUCAGUUCAUAAUAAAGAGCUUUCCAGAAGCCCCCAUCCCCACCCCAAGCCAACAGGAAUUGGCAAUGAACUUUAAGAAAAGGCUACGCGAGCCAGAAAACAACUUAGGGCUGUUUAAUUUUCCUGACAUGAACGCUGGCCACCCAAGGGGAUAAAGGAAACACCUGUCUCCCGUGGGCAGCGGUUCUGCAGGGCGUGUGGAUAUCCAGAAAGCUGCUGGGAGACUUCUUUCACCCGCCAAGUUAGAGACAAACGAACCUGUGGAAAGAGUGGUUUCGCAGAAGACCAUGGACCCCAGCCUGGGUCUCAGCUCUGCCUCUGACUAGGAAGGGGCCACUAGAAUCAGCAACCCCGCCUCUAAGAAGAACAUAAGCUUUUUGCACAGUAUUCUCUCAGGAGCUUUUAUUGAGACUCAUAAAGGAAGCAACAACACUUGAGAGUGUUGCAAAGUG